rnacentral:lncRNA from 1 species
UUCACUAAACUUUCAUCCAGGAUAUUUUACAAAAUGCUAGUUAACUAUAGUAUAGCAUUCCAAAGUAGAUCUCCAUUAUUUACAAAAUCUUAGUUAAUAUUAGCCAAAAUACUUCAUAGUGCAAAGCUAAGUUAGAUCUCCAUAAUUUGAGUCGUUUGUUCCUUGUUUUCCCUUGGGGUCUGAGCACUGGCCACUUCCGUUUAUGCUCCUCUUGUCCGCAACCAAUAAUGGGAUAUGUACCACAAAAGAGUUUCAUGAGAACAGGCAAGUAGGUAGGUAGAUCUUAAGAAUAUAUGAGAUUGUAGACAAGAUAGACAUUUUUUUUUAAGGGAAACGAAAGAAUUUUAUAAAAAGGAAAGAAUUUACAAAAGAGGAAAAAAAACCGUGGAAAAGAUAUCCACUUGGAGCUAGAAGAAAACUAGCAAGGACCCCUACUGAAAACUAAAUGAACAGAGGAAAAGCUAAACCGAAUCAAUUAAUGGCUGCUAACAAAUCCCUAAAUAUAGAAGAGAGAUUGUAAUCUCUAAACUCCACUGAAACCGAAGCCCAAAAGGCUGCCCAUUGUCUUACUCUAUCCCAAAGCUCUUAUACCUUACGCUCCAACCAAAUGUUCCAGAAGAGGGCCGUCAACAGAGAUCCCCACAAGGUUUUGGCAUACAAGAUAGACAUAUGAACACAUUGAGAGAAGCAAAUUAACUCAUAGUUAUAAUAUCCAAUCAAUUUGCAUACUAUCACCAGAUUAACUCAUAGUUAUGAUAUUCACAUUGAGAGAAGCAGCAGGGGUGGAAUUUACAUCGUUUGCGCGACAUACUUCCCUCGACAUUAGAGAACUAAUUUUGCGCGAUUGAUGUGCUUUUAAAGCUUAAAAUUCUCAGUCAAACGACAAUACCUCUAUUCUAACAAAACAGCAUUUGCUCGAACGCUUAUACUCAGACUAAAAUCACAGGAUUGCAUCUCACUCUUGGACACCACUGAUAUUCAAUCGAGCUAUAUUGAUGUGCGCAAACAAAUCAUAAAAAAGAAAACAAAACUCAAACCACGAAGUAUAAGGUUAUUCAUUUAUUUAAAAUCCAUUGUAAAAGACCCAAAAACUGGAAUAUACAGUUGAAAUUUAUAAUCUAGUUUUUCUUCAUUUCCUACCAUUUCUCAGCAACCAAACAGUUUAAAUUUAAAAUGUACAUCAUUUUUCAAAUCAACACCACAAAUCGGAUUAUACCAUUAAUUAUACUAUGAAAGAAGCAAAUGGAUACCCUCUAAAAUCAAUAGAAAGCACAAAUCUAUAAUCUUUUCAAUCAAAAUCUCACCUCAAAUCCUUCAUCUGCAGAACCCCAUCUUUCCACACUCGAAAGUUCACUCCUCUUUCUUCUUUCCCUUCUGUAGACACAGCAAAUCACUCAAAUCACUCAAAUCCCACGCUUCUUCCGAACUCAGCAACCAAGAUUCAAAUACGCAGAAGGACCUUCAGUCAAUUCGAACCACAUUCUCUUCACCCAAGAACCCACAUUUACAAAAACGCCAGCUCUCUUUCUUUCUAUUUUUGGACUAAAUUUUGUGCUGAAAAACAAGAACAAUCAAGUGUGGAGGAAAUGAUUGAAGAUUUGAAAGCGUGGAGCAGCAGAAUCAUUUGGGUUUUGAAAGUAAAGAAAACAGUCUUUAAUUUCAGCGAGAGAGAGAAAGUCUUUGGGAAUGCAACAGAGGAAAAAUGUCAAACUUGAGAGAAAUCAGAGGGAAAUUUGCAGAAACUAGAAACCAGGACAGAGAGAGAGAGAGGAGAGAGAGAGAGAGAGAGAGAGAGAGAGAGAGAGAUUGAAAUGGAAGAAAGAAGAGACGUUAGAAUUUAGCACUGAGCAAGGAAUCGGAUGAAAAAACAAGAAGAAAACGCAUCAUUGCUGUGAGGGAGAGCUUUGCUUUCAACCAAAACCCUGAUGCCCAAAAAUACCAUUUUCCCCAUUUUGCAGAAUACAAAUUACAUAUUGGUAAGUAUUUAGUCAAGAAACAAAAUUAGAACCACACAAGUCGAUAAUCGAACUCACAAAAAGAACACCAGCCAACCAAGAAGCAUCAAAUUCGUGAACCAAGAACAUAAAAACGAAAAACCACACAGAAAUAUAAAAACCCCAAAUUCUAAUCUCAAUUUGACUUAAAAAUCAAAACCCUAAUUUGUUCAAGUGCAGAGGUCUAUGAUUGAAAUUUUCUCAAACCCAAAACAACAAAAUCAAAUAAAGCUCAGUAAUAUCACGAUCUGCAAAACAAAUCGACGAAAUAAAUCGAAGAUUCGAAGUUUACCAGACAACUCAAAGUAGAUGAGGGCGAACAGAUGCAGAUGAGGGUGAGGAGGACGACGAUGAGGGAGCAGGGCAAGGAGGGAGCGAUGUGCGAUGAGUAGGAUGAGCGACUUGGGGUUCUUGGACGAGCGAAGCUCUAGCGGUUCUCUCUGGGCUUACGAAUCCGGCCGAGAUUGGGGUCCUUCGUUAAGAACAC